rnacentral:tRNA from 1 species
CGGGGUAUAGCGCAGUCUGGUAGCGCACCUGCUUUGGGAGCAGGGGGUCGGAGGUUCGAAUCCUCCUGCCCCGACCA